rnacentral:rRNA from 1 species
GGCGAAGGGGGCAAGCGUUGUUCGGAAUUACUGGGCGUAAAGCGCGUGUAGGCGGUUUUCCAAGUUGGGUGUGAAAGCCUUGGGCUUAACCCAAGAAAUGCACUCAGUACUGGAAGACUAGAGGACCGGAGAGGAUAGUGGAAUUCCCAGUGUAGUGGUGAAAUACGUAGAGAUUGGGAAGAACACCAGUGGCGAAGGCGGCUAUCUGGACGGUUUCUGACGCUAAGACGCGAAAGCGUGGGGAGCAAACAGG